UAUGUCCCAUCUCCGAGGCCGGUGCGCCUUCCUUUCUUCUCGCCUCCUUUCUCUCUCUCUCUCUCUUUCGCUUUUAUCGCUAUCGCUUUCGCUGUUCGUUCAUCUGCAGCAACAAACGCGCAGCACUCCCAUAACGCCCUCUUUGUCGCACACGCGAUCUCUAAAAGGGGCGCUUGUUGCUCUCUCUCGGUGGAGGAAGGCUCUUUUCCUCGCAUUCUAGCGAGUGGUAUUCCCACAAAGAUGCGAUCUUGAUACGUAUUUCCUUUUCGGUUUUUUUUUCCGGACGGGCUUCUUCAUCUGUUCUUAAUUGUUUUUGUUAUCUUUCAUGGUUUUAUAGAUGGGGGGAUGGGUUUCGAUCCAUGACGGUCGAGAAAAUGGACGAAAGUUUUCAACUUGACGGGCAUUUUUUGGGCUUAAACUCAAUCAAAUAGAGUACCAGGAACUUGCUCUGUGCUUACCUAGGUGUCCUGCAGAAGUGAAGAUAUUAUUACUGUUCAUACUAGUCAUCUUUCAUCUUUUUAUUUUUGAUGCGUGAAGAAGUGAUGGAGAGAGGUACCACUUCAGUAACCCCUGAGGUGAUUAAGCCUAGAAGUGGGGUAAGGAGAAAUUCAGCAGGAAAAGCAAGUACUACUGCUUCACCAUCUCUUUCAAACAGUGGUGAAAAGCCUGUUCCUAAUUACCUCAGAGCUUCAACUGGCUCCUGUCAUGAUUUCUGUAAAUAUGGAAUUAAGCAUGGUUUUGAAGCAAAGAAAGGGCUUCCAAUACGUACCAAACUUCUCGGCAAUAACAGGAAACCAGAUGAAGAACAAAAUCAAGCAAAGGUUUUGACACCACGAGAGAGAAGGAAGAGACUGGAGCUCAAGGACAGUCAAUUUCAAACAAUGUAUGGAAGUAGAGAUAAAGUUGUCAUGCAGAAGGAUCUGCCACCUGAGAAGGUGAUUCAGAUUUCAGAUACAUCUACCAAUCAAGCUGAAGUAUCCGGUGAAGAAUCCUCAGGCAUAAAGCCAAAGUGCUUAUCGCCCAACCUGACAACAGUUGCAUCUCUUGGGCAUAAACCCGCAAAUCUAGCUGAUGAAUCAUCGGAGGAGGGAUCUAUAACCAUCAAACCAGUGACCUCAUCACACAUCCAGAAAAGCAACACACCUGAUGAGCACAAAUUUCCAGUAGAAGGGUUAUGUGAAGAAUCUGCAGAGAUUAUGCCUGUGACAUCAGACAACCAGAAGCAUAUUGUGUCUGCUAAGAAUACACCUGUCGCUCGGGUAGAAGAACCGUAUGUGGAGGAUGUUAGCACGAAGCUUGUGGUUUCAUCACAGACCAAGACAGGCAUUGCAUUCACUGAGCAUGUCGCUAGCAGUCUAGUAGAAGAAUCAUCAGAAGAGCUUGAAAUCAUAAAGUCACUUGUCCAGGAAAACAUUGUGUGUGCAGAUCAUGCACCAAUCAAUCAAGCAGAAGGAUUAUCCAUUCAGAAAAGCAUUACAUCUGCUGAGAAUAUAUCAGCUGAUCAAGCAGCAAGAUUAUCUGAAGAACAAAGCCAGGUGAAGAUUUUGAAUGCAGGUGAUAAUAAAAGGAGAGAGAUGAACAAGCUGAAGACUGCACAAAAGAAUGUUUUUGAGGACUCUGUUAAAGCUAAAGUCAUCAAGCAGAAACUAACUGAUGCAUCUGUCAAGAAGACUGCAUCACCUGUCAUGGAAACCAUCACAUCUGUUAAGCUAACGAGUACCAUGAAGAAGAGGCCAUCAUUUGUUAAUAAAACCAUUGCACCUUUGGCGCAUAGAAUUAUCAAGCAAAGUGCUCAAUCAAUUCCGAAGGCAGGUGCUGCAUCUGCUGAACCUGCAACCUCUUCGAAACAAAAGGAAACUACUUCUCCUUCAAUUUCUACAACUGGCCUAACUGGUCAAAGGAACCUGGAGAACAAGAGCAUUAAGAGUCCAGGCCAGUCAAAAAUUGGAGAGGGGAAAGUAUUGAAACCACCGAAAGCUUCUGUCUUGACCAAGUCUCCUGUUAAUCGGGUUUCAAUCAUGAAGUUGAAGAAAUACGGGAACAUGAAGCCUUCUUCCCUGGUGAAGACUGAAGCAAAAGUUGGAAAGGUAGAUAGCAAUGCCGAGAAAAUCAAGGAGAAAACUGUGUACACUGUUGAGCUGAAGUCAGGGAAGUCAGAUCAGAAGACCAUAAAGCGAAAACCCAGCAAACUUGGAUCAUAUCCAUCAUCACGUUCCUCAUUAUCAGCUUCGUCAUUAAGGUCUUCACCAUCUGCAUCAUCACAUGACUCUGAGUCUACAGUAAGCGAAGUGAGUGUACCUGCUACGGUCAAAGAGGGAACUGAGAGGAGGGAAACUGAUGUUUCGAAGGGUAAAAACAAGAGGACACCAAGUAGAACUGGAAGUGUUCACUCUGAAGGUAAAUCUACUAGACUGUGCAAUUUAAAAUUUCAGAGGGGCAAGGUAGUUAAUCUCCAGUCUGAGGAUAAUGGUCCGAGAAAACUUAGAUUCAGACCAGCAAAAGUUGUGAGCGAGAAUCAGAAUGGUAAAGAAGUAGGGAGGAGAAACUUUAGGAAGCAGAGAGCAACUUGUGCAGGAGCCCCAAACACUCCCACUUCAGAUGCUCGGGCUGUUGUAUUGAGACAUCAAGAUGUACAGGACAAGAAAGACACCCAAGGUUUGCUCAAUCAUGUGAUUGAAGAAACUGCAAGUAAGCUUGUGGAGACUAGGAAGAGCAAGGUGAAGGCCUUGGUGGGUGCUUUUGAAACUGUGAUCUCUCUCCAAGAAAACAAACUAGCUCCUGCUGUUGCAGUUCCAUGAUUACUUUGUGAUGGUGGUUGAAUGUGAUACUUGUAGAUGAUGUUUCCUCAUGAAAAACUCAAAAUAACAUAAGUUGUUUGGCACUUCAAUGACCUCAACCUCUAAUUGGAGGAUGCAACUUCAGAUCUAUACCGAAUUGGAUUUGUGCAAGGGCUCCUAUAUCUCCGAGACUUAAAGUUUUACAAGUUUUUUUUUCUUCAGUUCGUUAAAUCAGCGAACAUGAGAUAUUUGAAGCAUUGUUAAUUUUGCAAGUAAUAUCAUUUUCUUUGAGAUACGUAAAUGCUAAUCAUUUCAUGUAAGUGAAAUUGAGCUGCCAGGUCAUUGUGGCGACAAGUAUAUCUGAAUGAAAUGCUGUUUUCCCAUA